GACGAACGCUGGCGGCGUGCUUAACACAUGCAAGUCGAACGGAAAGGCCUGCUUUCCCUUGUGGAUUGCGGGUACUCGAGUGGCGAACGGGUGAGUAACACGUGAGUGAUCUGCCCCCAACUUGGGUAUAAGCCUGGGAAACUGGGUCUAAUUCCCGAUAGGACUGCAGGGUGGUGCCUGUGGUGGAAAACGAUUUUCUAGUGGUUGGGGAUGAGCUCGCGGCCUAUCAGCUUGUUGGUGGGGUAAUGGCCUACCAAGGCGGCGACGGGUAGCCGGCCUGGGAGGGUGGACGGCCACAUUGGGACUGAGAUACGGCCCAGACUCCUACGGGAGGCGGCAGUGGGGAAUAUUGCACAAUGGGCGGAAGCCUGAUGCAGCGACGCCGCGUGGGGGAUGACGGCCUUCGGGUUGUAAACUCCUUUCGACCGCGAGGAAGCCACCUGGUUGGAAGGGUGGUGACGGUAGUGGUAGAAGAAGCACCGGCUAACUACGUG
rnacentral:rRNA from 1 species